rnacentral:rRNA from 1 species
CCUCAUGCUCAUGGAGUGGCCGAUAUCUGAUUAGCUAGUUGGUAGGGUAAAAGCCUACCAAGGCAACGAUCAGUAGCUGGUUUGAGAGAACGACCAGCCACACUGGAACUGAGACACGGUCCAGACUCCUACGGGAGGCAGCAGUGGGGAAUUUUGGACAAUGGGGGCAACCCUGAUCCAGCAAUGCCGCGCGAGUGAAGAAGGCCUUCGGGUUGUAAAGCUCUUUUGUCAGGGAAGAAACGGUAGUUCCUAAUACGAGCUACUAAUGACGGUACCUGAAGAAUAAGCACCGGCUAACUACGUGCCAGCAGCCGCGGUAAUACGUAGGGUGCAAGCGUUAAUCGGAAUUACUGGGCGUAAAGCGUGCGCAGGCGGUUAUAUAAGUCAGAUGUGAAAUCCCUGGGCUCAACCUAGGAACUGCAUUUGAGACUGUAUGGCUAGAGUGUGUCAGAGGGGGGUAGAAUUCCACGUGUAGCAGUGAAAUGCGUAGAUAUGUGGAGGAAUACCGAUGGCGAAGGCAGCCCCCUGGGAUAACACUGACGCUCAUGCACGAAAGCGUGGGGAGCAAACAGGAUUAGAUACCCUGGUAGUCCACGCCCUAAACGAUGUCUACUAGUUGUCGGGACUUAAUUGUCUUGGUAACGCAGCUAACGCGUGAAGUAGACCGCCUGGGGAGUACGGUCGCAAGAUUAAAACUCAAAGGAAUUGACGGGGACCCGCACAAGCGGUGGAUGAUGUGGAUUAAUUCGAUGCAACGCGAAAAACCUUACCUACCCUUGACAUCGUUGGAAUCCCGAAGAGAUUUGGGAGUGCUCGCAAGAGAACCAAUACACAGGUGCUGCAUGGCUGUCGUCAGCUCGUGUCGUGAGAUGUUGGGUUAAGUCCCGCAACGAGCGCAACCCUUGUCAUUAGUUGCUACAUUAAGUUGAGCACUCUAAUGAGACUGCCGGUGACAAACCGGAGGAAGGUGGGGAUGACGUCAAGUCCUCAUGGCCCUUAUGGGUAGGGCUUCACACGUCAUACAAUGGUACAUACAGAGGGCCGCCAAAUCGCGAGAUGGAGCUAAUCCCAGAAAGUGUAUCGUAGUCCGGAUUGUAGUCUGCAACUCGACUACAUGAAGUUGGAAUCGCUAGUAAUCGCGGAUCAGCAUGUCGCGGUGAAUACGUUCCCGGGUCUUGUACACACCGCCCGUCACACCAUGGGAGCGGG